CACAGCUUGACUGUGUUCAGCUAUGUAAGAACAUAGGCACAGUGGCUCAUGCCUGUAACCCCAGCACUUUGGGAGGCCAAGGCAGGUGGAUAGCUUAGGGUCAGGAGUUCGAGACCAGCCUGGCCAACAUGGUCAAACCCCGUCUCUACCAAAAAUACAAAAAUUAGCCAAGUGUAAUGGGUUCCUGUAGUCCUAGCUACUCAGGAGGCUGAGGCAUGAGAAUUGCUUAAACCCAGGAGGCAGAGGUUGCAGUGAGCUGAGAUCAUGCCACUACACUCCAGCCUGGGCAACAGAGGGAUAUCUUUGGUUGCUGAAUUGAGAGUAGACAAUACAGGAGCAAGAGUGGACACAAGAGACCAGGGCUCACACUCAGGUUUACCUGGAAGUGAUGAAGGCUGAUUGGAUGACUAACUAAAGGCCUAGAAGUGGUGAGCAAGGGCAAUGCCCACCAUGAAAUUGAAACUCCUGUCUUAGCUGAUCCUGUGGGACAAUGCCUGAUAGAAAUCAGGCGUUUUAAAACAAGUGCUGUGAGUACUACUUCUUUUUCAUGCCAAAGAUGUUGCCACUUUUAUUGUAUAAUAUUAACACGCAUUAUAAGACAGACCACAUUUCACACUUAAGUGAAGGAAAUACCCACAUCCCAAAAAAACAACUUCAAAAGGAUCUUCCUUAAUAAUAUUUGUUCAGAACAACAAAAUUACAGUAGUAGCAUCUACUAGAUAGUAGAUGCUAUUUUUCUAGUAUCUACUAGAUGCUAUUGUAUAGUGCAUGGAAUUUUAGCCAAAUUAAAAAAUAAUAAACUUUAUUUAUUCUAUUUUAUUUAUUUUGAAAUGGAGCCUCUCUCUGAUGCCCAGGCUGGAGUGCAGUGGCUCAAUCUCGGUUCACUGCAACCUCUGCCUCCCCAGUUCAAGUGAUUCUCAUGCCUCAGCUUUCCAAGUAGCUGGGAUUACAAGUGCAUGCCACUGCAUCUGGCCAAUUUUUUGUACUUUUAAUAGAGACAGGGUUUCACCAUGUUGUCCAGGCUGAUCUCGAACUCCUGACCUCAGGUGAUCCACCCACCUCAGCCUUCCAAAAUGUUGGGAUUACAGGUGUGAGCUAUCACACUCAACCAGAAGAAACUUUAGAAUAAGAAAUUUUAGGGUGCCUAAACAGAAUUGUAGAUAGCUUGCUUUCUAACUUUAACAAACAGGAAUAUUUUUUUCAAGUAUUUUUAUUUAUUCAGAGUUGUUGCAAGGACAAACGGUUGUAGCCAGUUGAUAAAGUGUUGCCAAUGACCAUUUGGUGGCCGUUUUGUGAUUCCAGUGGGGCUCUGGAAGAAAAAGAGCUGUGGGGAGAAAAGGAAGGGGCUACCAUAUUCUUUACCUAAGUUAAUUCCUUCCUAAGCUAAGAAGUUUGUGUAGCUCUUCUCUGAGAGUUAUCUUCUAAGAACCUUUUCCAAGUUGAAAUUUCCUGCCAGUUGAUAAACGACACCAUUGAAUAAGUAGUUGCUAUGAUGUGAAUGUGUACUUUCAAAAUUCAUAAGUCAAAAUCCUCACUCCCAAGGUGAUGAUAUUAAACGGUAAGGCUGGCAGGGAGCAGAGGCUCAUGCCUGUAAUCCCAGCACUUUAGGAGGCCCAGGUGGGUGGAUCACUUGAGGUCAGGCGUUCCAGACUAGCCUGGCCAACAUGGUGAAAUGCUGUCUCUACUAAAAAUACGAAAAUUAGUCUGGGCACGGUGGCCCAUGCCUGUAAUCUUAGUACUUUGGCAGGCCGAGGCGGGGGGAUCACCUGAGGUCAAGAGUUCGAGACCAGCCUGGCCAACAUGGUGAAAUCCCGUCUCUACCAAAAAUACAAAAAUCAGCUGGGUGUGGUGGCGCACGCCUGUAAUUUCAGCUACUCGGGAGGCUGAGGCAGGAGAAUUGGCUUAACCCAGGAGGCGGAGGUUGUAGUGAGCCGAGAUGGCGCCACUGCACUCCAUCCUGGGUGAGAAAGUAAGACUCCAUCUCCAAAAAAAAAACAAAACAAAAAUCAGCCAGACGUGGUGGCACUUUCCUGUAAUCCCAGCUACUCAGGAGAAGCACUUGAACC